UCCAGACUCCUACGGGAGGCAGCAGUGGGGGAUAUUGCACAAUGGGGGGAACCCUGAUGCAGCGACGCCGCGUGGGUGAAGGAGCGUUUCGGCGCGUAAAGCCCUAUCGGCAGGGAAGAAGGAGGACGGUACCUGACUAAGAAGCCCCGGCUAACUACGUGCCAGCAGCCGCGGUAAUACGUAGGGGGCAAGCGUUAUCCGGAUUUACUGGGUGUAAAGGGGGCGCAGACGGCAGCGCAAGCCAGGAGUGAAAGCCCGGGGCCCAACCCCGGGACUGCUCUUGGAACUGCGCGGCUGGAGUGCAGGAGGGGCAGGCGGAAUUCCUGGUGUAGCGGUGAAAUGCGUAGAUAUCAGGAGGAACACCGGUGGCGAAGGCGGCCUGCUGGACUGCGACUGACGUUGAGGCCCGAAAGCGUGGGGAGCAAACAGGAUUAGAUACCCGCGUACG
rnacentral:rRNA from 1 species